AUGCAGCACAGGUUCUUGGAUGCAAUGGCAAUAGUUCAACGAUCGGGUAAACCAGACUAUUUUAUCAUGAUGACAUGCAAUCCCUACUGGGAGGAGACAACUAUUGAAUUGUUGCCUGGACAGCUGCCACAAGACCGUCCAGACCUUGUGGCAAGAGUAUAUAGAGCUAAACAACGAUCCAUGAUGGACUUACUGAUUAAGAAGAAGCAUUUUGGAGAAGUUGCGUCUUAUGUACAUGUCACUGAGUUUCAGAAACGGGGCCUCCCUCAUGAGCAUAUACUUCUAAUCAUGAAAGCAAAAAGUAAGUUAAGGACCCCAGAUGACUAUGAUCGGGUGAUAUCAGCAGAGAUACCAGACAAAAAUAAAUAUCUUGUUCUCCAUGAUCUGGUGGUCAAACACAUGUUG
rnacentral:rRNA from 1 species